AGAGUUUGAUUCUGGCUCAGAUUGAACGCCGGCGGCAGGCCUAACACAUGCAAGUCGAGCGGUAGAGAGGAGCUUGCUCCUCUUGAGAGCGGCGGACGGGUGAGUAAUGCCUAGGAAUCUGCCUGGUAGUGGGGGAUAACGUUCGGAAACGGACGCUAAUACCGCAUACGUCCUACGGGAGAAAGCAGGGGACCUUCGGGCCUUGCGCUAUCAGAUGAGCCUAGGUCGGAUUAGCUAGUUGGUGAGGUAAUGGCUCACCAAGGCGACGAUCCGUAACUGGUCUGAGAGGAUGAUCAGUCACACUGGAACUGAGACACGGUCCAGACUCCUACGGGAGGCAGCAGUGGGGAAUAUUGGACAAUGGGCGAAAGCCUGAUCCAGCCAUGCCGCGUGUGUGAAGAAGGUCUUCGGAUUGUAAAGCACUUUAAGUUGGGAGGAAGGGCAGUAAAUUAAUACUUUGCUGUUUUGACGUUACCGACAGAAUAAGCACCGGCUAACUCUGUGCCAGCAGCCGCGGUAAUACAGAGGGUGCAAGCGUUAAUCGGAAUUACUGGGCGUAAAGCGCGCGUAGGUGGUUUGUUAAGUUGGAUGUGGAAUCCCCGGGCUCAACCUGGGAACUGCAUUCAAAACUGACUGACUAGAGUAUGGUAGAGGGUGGUGGAACUUCCUGUGUAGCGGUGAAAUGCGUAGAUAUAGGAAGGAACACCAGUGGCGAAGGCGACCACCUGGACUAAUACUGACACUGAGGUGCGAAAGCGUGGGGGGCAAACAGGAUUAGAUACCCUGGUAGUCCACGCCGUAAACGAUGUCAACUAGCCGUUGGAAGCCUUGAGCUUUUAGUGGCGCAGCUAACGCAUUAAGUUGACCGCCUGGGGAGUACGGCCGCAAGGUUAAAACUCAAAUGAGUUGACGGGGGCCCGCACAAGCGGUGGAGCAUGUGGUUUAAUUCGAAGCAACGCGAAGAACCUUACCAGGCCUUGACAUCCAAUGAACUUUCUAGAGAUAGAUUGGUGCCUUCGGGAGCAUUGAGACAGGUGCUGCAUGGCUGUCGUCAGCUCGUGUCGUGAGAUGUUGGGUUAAGUCCCGUAACGAGCGCAACCCUUGUCCUUAGUUACCAGCACGUAAUGGUGGGCACUCUAAGGAGACUGCCGGUGACAAACCGGAGGAAGGUGGGGAUGACGUCAGGUCAUCAUGGCCCUUACGGCCUGGGCUACACACGUGCUACAAUGGUCGGUACAGAGGGUUGCCAAGCCGCGAGGUGGAGCUAAUCCCACAAAACCGAUCGUAGUCCGGAUCGCAGUCUGCAACUCGACUGCGUGAAGUCGGAAUCGCUAGUAAUCGCGAAUCAGGAUGUCGCGGUGAAUACGUUCCCGGGCCUUGCACUCACCGCCCGUC
rnacentral:rRNA from 1 species